UGCAUGGAUCAAAUGGUCCUGAUGGU
rnacentral:piRNA from 2 species